GACGAACGCUGGCGGCGUGCUUAACACAUGCAAGUCGAACGGUAAGGCCCUUCGGGGUACACGAGUGGCGAACGGGUGAGUAACACGUGGGUAAUCUGCCCUGCACUUCGGGAUAAGCCCGGGAAACUGGGUCUAAUACCGGAUAUUCAGUUCCUGCCGCAUGGUGGGGGUUGGAAAGUUUUUCGGUGCAGGAUGAGCCCGCGGCCUAUCAGCUUGUUGGUGGGGUAAUGGCCUACCAAGGCGACGACGGGUAGCCGGCCUGAGAGGGUGAUCGGCCACACUGGGACUGAGACACGGCCCAGACUCCUACGGGAGGCAGCAGUGGGGAAUAUUGCACAAUGGGCGAAAGCCUGAUGCAGCGACGCCGCGUGGGGGAUGACGGUCUUCGGAUUGUAAACCCCUUUCAGUAGGGACGAAGCGCAAGUGACGGUACCUGCAGAAGAAGCACCGGCCAACUACGUGCCAGCAGCCGCGGUAAGAC
rnacentral:rRNA from 1 species